rnacentral:sRNA from 1 species
AAUAUCUGGAGAAAACUCUGAUAAACCUGGUGUGGGCUCCUUAGGGCAAGUGAGAUCACAAGGUAAGAUAGCUUCUCCUGUCUUACUGCAGGAAGUCCUCAUCCCUGAGAUGAAGUGGAGAAAGGUAUGCCCUUCCUCCAGGUCCCUGUCUCUCCCAGACAACAUCCCUUGUGUCCCUCCAUCAUCCGUGGACUCCACAGACAGUUUCUUCCCCUCCAGGAAGCCUCCAAUGUCUGAAAAGUCAAGAGCCCAAGUAGCUUCAGAAAAUGGUGGGAGGUGGGCAUGGCCCAUGCCAGGCUGGGGUCCUGCCUGCCCUAAGAAGAUGCCGAACUGCUCUCCCACUGCAAAGAAUGCUGUCUAUGAGGAGGAUGAGCUGGAGGAGGAGCCCAGGAGCACUGGGGAGCUGAGGCUCUGGGAUUACCGGCUCCUCAAGGUCUUCUUUGUGCUGAUCUGCUUCCUGGUCAUGUCCUCAUCCUACCUGGCGUUCCGUAUUUCUCGGCUAGAGCAGCAGUUAUGCUCCUUGAGUUGGGACGGCCCAGUCCCUGGGCACAGCUCUUCUCUUCCCUCUAUGAGAGAUCUGAAGUACG